rnacentral:rRNA from 1 species
UACGAAGGGGGCUAGCGUUGUUCGGAAUCACUGGGCGUAAAGCGCACGUAGGCGGACCGUUAAGUCGGAGGUGAAAGCCUGGGGCUCAACCCCAGAACUGCCUUCGAUACUGGCGGUCUUGAGUAUGGUAGAGGUUGGUGGAACUCCGAGUGUAGAGGUGAAAUUCGUAGAUAUUCGGAAGAACACCAGUGGCGAAGGCGGCCAACUGGACCAUUACUGACGCUGAGGUGCGAAAGCGUGGGGAGCAAACAGGAUUAGAAACCCCAGUAGUCC